UGGGUUCAGGGUAUAAAAAAAAAAAAUAGAAUGUUGCAGUGGGGUGUUACCAACUAGAGAAUACUCAUUCACAUCCCAUCAGCAAUUUAGCAGCUAAGUUUAGCUCUGAUACUGUAGAAAAUGCAGUUUUUCCCGAUUGGCCACGCCCCUACUACUCUACUCAUUUAUUACCAGUUCUUAAAACGAGCUGAAGUUAACGUGCCUGCAAAAUUUGGAAGCCUAUGGUCCAAAAAUAUGAAAAUUAUCCGCCAUAGCUUUUUAGUCUUGGGAGGUCAGCCCGAGUAUAUAUAUCAUAUUUCAGGUCUCUAGCAUCAAUACUGCCGAAUACCUAAAUUUGUACAAUGCGUAUUUGAACUACUGGAGUCUUGUUUGGAAAAUAUACGCAUAUCAUCGUUUUAAUCAUGAUCUCAAAAUUGCAUGAAGAUAUUCAUGCAAGUGUUGUUCCUUGAUUACUUUUCUUCUAAGGACUCCGGAUAGAGCAGGAUAGCUAUUAAAGUACAGAGAAGUAGAAAGAGUUUCAUGGAGCAAAAAUGGAACUGUUUUUAGAUGACUGUAGCUGAUUGAAUUUGUAAUGGUAUUAAAAUAAAUAUUUAAAUUGUUCUUACAUAAAACGCCAUUGGAAGACCAAAUUGCCAUCUGCCUGAGAUUAUAUAAGCAGAUAAUUAAAUAAAAGCAUUUAUUUCUAUUCAUUAUAUAACCAUUUCGAAUGCAGUCAGACACACUCAAGAAUAUCGCUAUACGAGUAUAAGCUCAACCUAAUUUGAUAUUCUACAUAGUUGAAGAAGACUAAAUCUCAAACAUGAAGCUCGCACUGAUUCUUGUGGCCGCUUUAGCAGUCGCUUCACGACCACCUCAUCCGUGGCAAGUCCCUGGCAGCGGUUAGGUCAGCACGGACUCAUUCCCAAAAGUUUUCCGAUAAUAAAAGGGUUUGAAUAUUAUUUUGUUGUGAAUUGUAUUUCAUUUUUGAUUUUAUUGAAAGCCCUUACAAUCUUAUCAUAGGUCAAGUACAGAGAUGUCAUUGGUCGAACACACCUUCUAUAUUAGCUACAUCAGUUAGGAUGAAUUGAUGUGUAUCUCAAAAUAAAAAAAAUAAAAAAAUAAAAUAAAAGAUUGAGUAUUUGCAGUUUUGAUACAGAGAA